rnacentral:rRNA from 1 species
UACGAAGGGAGCUAGCGUUGUUCGGAAUCACUGGGCGUAAAGCGCACGUAGGCGGAUGUGUCAGUCAGGGGUGAAAUCCCGGAGCUCAACUUCGGAACUGCCUUUGAUACAGCACAUCUGGAGUCCGGAAGAGGUGGGUGGAAUUCCUAGUGUAGAGGUGAAAUUCGUAGAUAUUAGGAAGAACACCGGUGGCGAAGGCGGCCCCACUGGUCCGGUACUGACGCUGGAGGUGCGGAAAGCGUGGGGAGCAAACAGG